rnacentral:rRNA from 1 species
UACGUAGGUGGCAAGCGUUGUUCGGAUUUACUGGGCGUAAAGGGCGCGUAGGCGGCCACCGCAAGUCAAUUGUGAAAUCUCCGGGCUUAACUCGGAAAGGUCAACUGAUACUGCGGGGCUAGAGUGCGGAAGGGGCAACUGGAAUUCUCGGUGUAGCGGUGAAAUGCGUAGAUAUCGAGAGGAACACCUGCGGCGAAGGCGGGUUGCUGGGCCGACACUGACGCUGAUGCGCGAAAGCCAGGGGAGCGAACGGG